UACGUAGGGGGCAAGCGUUGUCCGGAUUUACUGGGCGUAAAGAGCGUGUAGGCGGCCAAGCAGGUCCGUUGGGAAAACUGGAGGCUUAACCUCCAGACGUCGACGGAAACCGCGUGGCUAGAGUCCGGAAGAGGAGAGUGGAAUUCCUGGUGUAGCGGUGAAAUGCGCAGAUAUCAGGAAGAACACCAAUGGCGAAGGCAGCUCUCUGGGACGGUACUGACGCUGAGACGCGAAAGCGUGGGGAGCGAACAGG
rnacentral:rRNA from 1 species